rnacentral:rRNA from 1 species
GACGAACGCUGGCGGCGUGCUUAACACAUGCAAGUCGAACGAUGAACUUGGAGCUUGCUCUGGGGGAUUAGUGGCGAACGGGUGAGUAACACGUGAGUAACCUGCCCUGGACUCUGGGAUAACUUCGAGAAAUCGGAGCUAAUACCGGAUAGGACCUUGCACCGCAUGGUGUGGGGUGGAAAGUUUUUCGGUUUGGGAUGGACUCGCGGCCUAUCAGCUUGUUAGUGAGGUAAUGGCUCACCAAGGCGUCGACGGGUAGCCGGCCUGAGAGGGUGACCGGCCACACUGGGACUGAGACACGGCCCAGACUCCUACGGGAGGCAGCAGUGGGGAAUAUUGCACAAUGGGCGCAAGCCUGAUGCAGCAACGCCGCGUGCGGGAUGACGGACUUCGGGUUGUAAACCGCUUUUAGUAGGGAAGAAGCCUUCGGGUGACGGUACCUGCAGAAAAAGGACCGGCUAACUACGUGCCAGCCGCCGCAGUAAGAC